GACGAACGCUGGCGGCGUGCCUAAUACAUGCAAGUAGAACGCACAGUUUAUACCGUAGCUUGCUACACCAUAGACUGUGAGUUGCGAACGGGUGAGUAACGCGUAGGUAACCUGCCUGGUGGCGGGGGAUAACUAUUGGAAACGAUAGCUAAUACCGCAUAAUAUUGAUUAUUGCAUGAUAAUUGAUUGAAAGAUGCUAUUGCAUCACUACCAGAUGGACCUGCGUUGUAUUAGCUAGUAGGUGAGGUAACGGCUCACCUAGGCGACGAUACAUAGCCGACCUGAGAGGGUGAUCGGCCACACUGGGACUGAGACACGGCCCAGACUCCUACGGGAGGCAGCAGUAGGGAAUCUUCGGCAAUGGACGAAAGUCUGACCGAGCAACGCCGCGUGAGUGAAGAAGGUUUUCGGAUCGUAAAGCUCUGUUGUAAGAGAAGAACGGGUGUGAGAGUGGAAAGUUCACACUGUGACGGUAUCUUACCAGAAAGGGACGGCUAACUACGUG
rnacentral:rRNA from 1 species